AUGACGGGACCGCCGCCGCCGUCAGCUGACCCGGGGAGGAGCGGAGCGGCUCCGCCGCGGGGAGAGCCCGCGCUGGCUGCGGGGAGAAACCGAGGGGGAUCCCGAGGUGUUCGUGGCUUGCUGAGGGUUUAUUGGUGUUUGAAGGCAUCAGUUUUCCACUUAGAAACUGCUAAGGGAUCCUGGAGUGUUUACAGGAGAUGGAGAGGUCCUUUGGAUUAAACACACCCAGGAAAGGCAACACCACUGUCCCAAGUUUACAUCUGCUCAAGAAGUGUUUCCUGAAAAACAAGUAGGGGCCUAAAAACUGGAAAACCGAACCUAAAAAGCUGGAAAAGCAACUCUGAAAUAGUACUGAGGAGAAGAUCAUCACUACCCAUCCUUUCUGGAAGUCUUUUGGGUUAUCUGGGCAUUAUUUUGGUGUGUGGUGACUCGUCUGGUGCCUGUCAGUACCAAAGAAGGUACCAGAUAUUCCAAGAAUGCGCGGAAACGCAGAUUUAAAACGUGUGGACGGCUGACAAAGAGCUCAGCCAGCGAUGUGAAAUAUUGCCAUCUAACAGCUUUUGGGGAGAUUUUCGCAUCAACUGAAUUGGCAGCCUGGAGUUCAGCGGGCAAAGCAUGCAAAUGAAAAUUGAUACUUCUCUCAGCGACUGGAAGCGAAAGGGCAGGGCCGGAGCGUGCUCUGGGAUGAACUCAGCCCUGGGAGAUGGAGACAGAGGUGCACUGAUGGGAAAAGUGCCCGGCUCUUCUGUCUGCGGCGCGUCCCUGGCGUGGAUAAAUACACCGCUCGCUGUUCAUCACUGUCAGGAAAAUUGUCACUUCUCAUGAGCGCCACAUUAAUUAAAAGUGAGAGUUCGGGCCGGGCAGCUGAGCGCUCGGGAUCCUUUGGAAGGGGGAUGGAGUGCUGCGUUCUUAGCAAAACACCACUCAGUGAAACCAAACGGGUGCCAGAACAGGGGGAAAUCAAUCUGAACUCAUGAGAAAUUGAUUUCCAAACCUCUUCUUACCCCGUUCAACCAGCGGGGCCGUGUAAGGUCGCCAGACGGGCUCAUGAAACUGUGUAGCAGAAUAAAAAUUGUAUUUAUCAACUUUGA